AAUGAACGCUGGCGGCGUGCUUAACACAUGCAAGUCGUGCGCGAAGGUGGCUUCGGCCACCGGAGAGCGGCGGACGGGUGAGUAACACGUGGGUAAUCUGCCUAGGAGUGGGGAAUAACCUGGGGAAACUCGGGCUAAUACCGCAUACGUCGUCGGGACUGCGGUCCCGGCAAGAAAGCUGGCCUCUGCUUGCAUGCUAGCGCUCCUAGAGGAGCCCGNGGCUGAUAGCUAGUUGGUGAGGUAAUGGCUCACCAAGGCGACGAUCAGUAGCCGGCCUGAGAGGGUGAACGGCCACACUGGGACUGAGACACGGCCCAGACUCCUACGGGAGGCAGCAGUGGGGAAUAUUGGACAAUGGGCGAAAGCCUGAUCCAGCAACGCCGCGUGGAGGACGAAGGUCUUCGGAUCGUAAACUCCUGUCAGAUGGGACGAACGGACGUCGGUAAA
rnacentral:rRNA from 1 species